UUUAUGGGGUGACUGCGUACCUUUUGUAUAAUGGGUCAGCGACUUAUAUUCUGUAGCAAGGUUAACCGUAUAGGGGAGCCGAAGGGAAACCGAGUCUUAACUGGGCGUUAAGUUGCAGGGUAUAGACCCGAAACCCGGUGAUCUAGCCAUGGGCAGGUUGAAGGUUGGGUAACACUAACUGGAGGACCGAACCGACUAAUGUUGAAAAAUUAGCGGAUGACUUGUGGCUGGGGGUGAAAGGCCAAUCAAACCGGGAGAUAGCUGGUUCUCCCCGAAAGCUAUUUAGGUAGCGCCUCGUGAACUCAUCUUCGGGGGUAGAGCACUGUUUCGGCUAGGGGGUCAUCCCGACUUACCAACCCGAUGCAAACUGCGAAUACCGAAGAAUGUUAUCACGGGAGACACACGGCGGGUGCUAACGUCCGUCGUGAAGAGGGAAACAACCCAGACCGCCAGCUAAGGUCCCAAAGUCAUGGUUAAGUGGGAAACGAUGUGGGAAGGCACAGACAGCCAGGAUGUUGGCUUAGAAGCAGCCAUCAUUUAAAGAAAGCGUAAUAGCUCACUGGUCGAGUCGGCCUGCGCGGAAGAUGUAACGGGGCUAAACCAUGCACCGAAGCUGCGGCAGCGACACUAUGUGUUGUUGGGUAGGGGAGCGUUCUGUAAGCCGUUGAAGGUGGCCUGUGAGGGUUGCUGGAGGUAUCAGAAGUGCGAAUGCUGACAUAAGUAACGAUAAUGCGGGUGAAAAACCCGCACGCCGGAAGACCAAGGGUUCCUGUCCAACGUUAAUCGGGGCAGGGUGAGUCGACCCCUAAGGCGAGGCCGAAAGGCGUAGUCGAUGGGAAACAGGUUAAUAUUCCUGUACUUGGUGUUACUGCGAAGGGGGGACGGAGAAGGCUAUGUUAGCCGGGCGACGGUUGUCCCGGUUUAAGCAUGUAGGCGGAGGUUCCAGGUAAAUCCGGUACCUUUUUAACGCUGAGGUGUGAUGACGAGGCACUACGGUGCUGAAGUAACAAAUGCCCUGCUUCCAGGAAAAGCCUCUAAGCAUCAGGUAACACGAAAUCGUACCCCAAACCGACACAGGUGGUCAGGUAGAGAAUACCAAGGCGCUUGAGAGAACUCGGGUGAAGGAACUAGGCAAAAUGGUGCCGUAACUUCGGGAGAAGGCACGCUGAUAUGUAGGUGAAGUGAUUUACUCAUGGAGCUGAAAUCAGUCGAAGAUACCAGCUGGCUGCAACUGUUUAUUAAAAACACAGCACUGUGCAAACACGAAAGUGGACGUAUACGGUGUGACGCCUGCCCGGUGCCGGAAGGUUAAUUGAUGGGGUUAUCCGUAAGGAGAAGCUCUUGAUCGAAGCCCCGGUAAACGGCGGCCGUAACUAUAACGGUCCUAAGGUAGCGAAAUUCCUUGUCGGGUAAGUUCCGACCUGCACGAAUGGCGUAAUGAUGGCCAGGCUGUCUCCACCCGAGACUCAGUGAAAUUGAACUCGCUGUGAAGAUGCAGUGUACCCGCGGCAAGACGGAAAGACCCCGUGAACCUUUACUAUAGCUUGACACUGAACACUGGUCCUUGAUGUGUAGGAUAGGUGGGAGGCUUUGAAGUGUGGACGCCAGUCUGCAUGGAGCCAUCCUUGAAAUACCACCCUUUAAUGGCUGGUGUUCUAACGUGGACCCGUUACCCGGGUUGCGGACAGUGUCUGGUGGGUAGUUUGACUGGGGCGGUCUCCUCCUAAAGAGUAACGGAGGAGCACGAAGGUUAGCUAAUCCUGGUCGGACAUCAGGAGGUUAGUGCAAAGGCAUAAGCUAGCUUGACUGCGAGAGUGACGGCUCGAGCAGGUGCGAAAGCAGGUCUUAGUGAUCCGGUGGUUCUGAAUGGAAGGGCCAUCGCUCAACGGAUAAAAGGUACUCCGGGGAUAACAGGCUGAUACCGCCCAAGAGUUCAUAUCGACGGCGGUGUUUGGCACCUCGAUGUCGGCUCAUCACAUCCUGGGGCUGAAGUAGGUCCCAAGGGUAUGGCUGUUCGCCAUUUAAAGUGGUACGCGAGCUGGGUUUAGAACGUCGUGAGACAGUUCGGUCCCUAUCUGCCGUGGGCGCUGGAGAAUUGAGGGGGGCUGCUCCUAGUACGAGAGGACCGGAGUGGACGCAUCACUGGUGUUCGGGUUGUCAUGCCAAUGGCAUUGCCCGGUAGCUAAAUGCGGAAGAGAUAAGUGCUGAAAGCAUCUAAGCACGAAACUUGCCCCGAGAUGAGUUCUCCCUGAGACUU
rnacentral:rRNA from 1 species